AAGUCUUAACAAGGUUUCCGUAGGUGAACCUGCGGAAGGAUCAUUAUUGAAAUAAACCUGAUGAGUUGUUGCUGGCUCUCUAGGGAGCAUGUGCACGCUUGUCGUUUUUAUAUCUCCACCUGUGCACCUUUUGUAGACCUGGAUACCUUUCUAAAUGCACUCGCGUUUAGGUAUGAGGAUUGACCUUUGUGGUCUAUCUUCACAUUUCCAGGCCUAUGUUUCUUCAUAUACCCUAUUGUAUGUUAUAGAAUGUAAUAAAUGGCCUUUGUGCCUAUAAACUUAUACAACUUUCAGCAACGGAUCUCUUGGCUCUC
rnacentral:misc_RNA from 1 species